rnacentral:snRNA from 12 species
AAAAAGGGCUUCUGCCGUGAAUGGUACAGGGGAGGGGAGUGAUCCUCUUCUCCCUUGCGGAAUCGCUAUCAAGAGAUUUCGGAAGCACAAUUUUUGCUACUUGAGGCUGCUGGUGCUCACUGGUCCCGGCGCCUCC